UACGAAGGGGGCUAGCGUUGUUCGGAAUUACUGGGCGUAAAGCGUGCGCAGGCGGCUUCUCAAGUCAGGGGUGAAAGCCCAGAGCUCAACUCUGGAACUGCCUUUGAGACUGAGAGGCUUGAGUACGGGAGAGGUGAGUGGAAUUCCCAGUGUAGAGGUGAAAUUCGUAGAUAUUGGGAAGAACACCGGUGGCGAAGGCGGCUCACUGGCCCGUAACUGACGCUCAAGCACGACAGCGUGGGGAUCAAACAGG
rnacentral:rRNA from 1 species